UAGAAUCUGUCAUUUUCUGAGAGUUUGAUCCUGGCUCAGGAUUAACGCUGGCGGCAUGCCUAAUACAUGCAAGUCGAUCGGAUGUAGCAAUACAUUAGAGGCGAACGGGUGAGUAACACGUAUCCAAUCUGCCUUAUAGUGGGGGAUAACUAGUCGAAAGAUUAGCUAAUACCGCAUAACAAGUUAACUAUCGCAUGAGAAUAACUUUAAAGAAGCAACUGCUUCGCUAUAAGAUGAGGGUGCGGCAUAUCAGCUAGUUGGUGAGG
rnacentral:rRNA from 1 species